GGUCUGGACUGGACACUGUGAAAUGGGUCCUGCAGGCUGGACACCACCUUUCCAAACAGGAUGUUUGGAUGGAUCAGCUUUUCUUGUGAGGACAACACUGGAAUUGCUUGGUUUCUGCUAAUGGCCUUAGAGAUUUAGAGAAAAUAAUCUGAGUGGUGUGCUUCCAAGGGAACUCAUUGCAAGAGAAGUGUAGAAGUCAGGACACAAAAUGUUGCACAAUGGCUUUGGCAAACAGAAUGACUCAGUAGAGUUACCAAUCCAUGAAAAAUAUGAUGUGUAAUUAUCUAAAAAAAAAA